rnacentral:rRNA from 1 species
CAGUCGCCGCGGUAAUACGUAGGUGGCAAGCGUUGUCCGGAAUUAUUGGGCGUAAAGGGCUCGCAGGCGGUUUCUUAAGUCUGAUGUGAAAGCCCCCGGCUCAACCGGGGAGGGUCAUUGGAAACUGGGAAACUUGAGUGCAGAAGAGGAGAGUGGAAUUCCACGUGUAGCGGUGAAAUGCGUAGAGAUGUGGAGGAACACCAGUGGCGAAGGCGGCUUUUUGGCCUGUAACUGACACUGAGGCGCGAAAGCGUGGGGAGCAAACAGGAUUAGAGACCCGAGUAGUCCCUGUCUCUUAUAC